UAUUUUUAUUAAAAUAAUUGUUUCUCCAAUAGCUCUUUGCAUCCAUGACAGCUGUUUAUUCGGGACAAUUAUAUAAUUUUUAAUGUAAACUUUGUUGUACGAACGUACAUGACUUUUAGAACGCACCUACGCAUGUGAGAUUUCCGCGGGGUUUUGGUGAAUGUAAACAGAAAAAUACGAGGACCGAGAAUACUGAACACAAACAGAGAAAACGUUAUUUAAAUGGUAAAUCACUUAUUUAAAUAUAAUCGGAAUAUUCACAAAAGAAUUUGUAACGUUCUUUUGUUGGUAAUUCAUUGAUAUUUAGAUAGUUAGAGCAUUGUUGUUCACAAGAUGAUGGUAGUGAACGGGCGUUGCCACAA
rnacentral:lncRNA from 1 species